rnacentral:rRNA from 1 species
UACGUAGGGACCAAGCGUUGUUCGGAUUUACUGGGCGUAAAGGGCGCGUAGGCGGCAUGACAGCACUUGUGAAAUCUCCGGGCUUAACUCGGAACGGCCAAGUGAAACUGUCAAGCUAGAGUGCAGAAGGGGCAAUCGGAAUUCUUGGUGUAGCGGUGAAAUGCGUAGAUAUCAAGAGGAACACCUGAGGUGAAGACGGGUUGCUGGGCUGACACUGACGCUGGAGGCGCGAAAGCCAGGGGAGCAAACGGG